UGACAAGCGGCGACCGCGGUUCCACAGGAGCGGAAGCUUGAGCCUUUUGACGAGCGACUGUGCCAAACUUGGGUAAGUUGAAGAAGGUCGCUGAACUACGUAACUUUGUUACUUCAUUGCAUGAAAACUGUUUGCAGGAACCGUCGUGUUGGCACAGCGAGGAUGAUCAACAGAUACCCGAUAGGCAGCGAUGAGAGCUGUUCAUGGCACCGACACAGAGGACAGAUUGCAGUACAAGAUAGGAGCAUACUUCCUGCAAGCCCGGGCAAGCCAUAAUGAGUGGUUUCAAAUACAGCAACUGUACCACCACAACAGUGCAGCACAGGAGAGCCUAUCGUCAGUGCCGCGUCGAGAAAUUAAAUAAAAAAGCACUUACUCCUGGAAACUUCUCGUAUCAUCUUAUUGGUUUGUUUGUGAUUAUAAAACUGCACUUUCAUGG